UAGGUGGAUGUUAAUGCUGUUAACUGAUUUGACAUGUUAAAUUUGAGAUGUUAAACAUCCAAGUGAAUGGGUACUCUGAAAGAGCAUCAAGAAAAUCUGACUGAAAAAAGAUUGACUGAGCUGGGCGCUGGAGUAUAAGCCAGAGUUUCACAGGAAAGGGGUGCAGACGAAGACCUCAAGAAAGGGCUCUUGGAUCUCAUGUAAGAAGGAAUUCAGGGCGAGUCCAUAGAGUAAAGUGAAAGCAAGUUUAUUAGAAUACUAGAGUUCAAACAAGGUAUGGGACCGCCCAGCUGGAGACUCCAUUUUCCAGACUCCUUUGCAGCUGUUUCUGGAAUGUGAUCUAGUUAUCACCAAGGGAAUAUGAAUGGAAAUGAUAAGCACAAUUUCUGCUUCAUCGGUUUAAAAGCAAAUUGCUUGCCCUCAACAUCUGUUCUUUUCCCCUGCUGUAAGCCAGAACAUGGACAUGCCUGCAAUUCAACUUUUGAUCAUGAAGAUGAAAACAUUUGCUAAGAAAUUAAAGAUCUUUUAAAACCAC
rnacentral:lncRNA from 1 species